AGCCCUAAGUGGGUGGUAAACUCCAUCUAAGGCUAAAUAUGACCACGAGACCGAUAGCGAACAAGUACCGUGAGGGAAAGUUGAAAAGCACUUUGAAGAGAGAGUUCAAGAGUACGUGAAACCGUUUAGGGGUAAACCUGAGAAACCCGAAAGGUCGAAGGGAGAAAUUCAUUCGCGUUUCGCCGUCGGCGUGGGACGGUCGUGUGACGGAAAGCGUUCGCGUUUUCCGCGCCUUCGGUUCUUCGAUCCGGCAGCGAACGCGUGCACUUUUCUCCUGGUAGGACGUCGCGAUCCGUUGGGCGUCGGUCUACGGCGCGCGGUGGAGCCCGUCCGCUUUAUGCGAACGGACCCGCGCGUUCCGGCCGACUCGCUCGACGGUAUACGAAAGGUUUAAGGCCGCUCUCUAUUUAGGAGCGUUCGACCCGUGGCAAGCGCGCCGGACGUGUCGGCGAUCGGACCUCGUGCCGAUUCUGACCUCCGGUGACUGUUGGCCGCGGAGUUCUCGAACAGACCUUCGGACCGAUCUGCGACGCUAUAGCUUUGGGUACUUUCAG
rnacentral:rRNA from 1 species